GACGUAGGGGGCAAGCGUUGUUCGGAAUUAUUGGGCGUAAAGCGCUCGUAGGCGGGACAGGAAGUUCGUGUUGAAAGACCUCGGCUCAACUGAGGGACCGGCUCGAAUACUCUUGUUCUUGAGGCAAUCAGAGGGUGAUGGAAUUCCCGGUGUAACGGUGAAAUGCGUAGAUAUCGGGAGGAACACCAGUGGCGAAGGCGAUCACCUGGGGUUGUUCUGACGCUGAGGAGCGAAAGCUAGGGGAGCAAACGGG
rnacentral:rRNA from 1 species